ensembl:misc_RNA Metazoa_SRP Metazoan signal recognition particle RNA
GCUGGGCGUGGUGGCGCGUGCCUGUAAUUCCAGCCACUUCGGAGGCUGAGGCAGGAGAAUCGCUUGAACCUAGGAGGUGGAGGUUGCAGUGAGCUGAGAUUGUGCCACUGCACUCCGACCUGGGUGACAGAGCAAGACUCUGUCUCAA